rnacentral:sRNA from 1 species
AAAAAAUAGCCAGGCGUGGUGGCACACACCUAUAAUGCCAGCUACUCAGGUGGCUGAGGCAGGAGAAUCGCUUGAACCCAGGAGGCAGAGGCUGCAGUGAGCUGAGGUCACACCACUGCACUCCAGCCUGGGUGACAGAGUGAGACUCUGUCUCAAAAAACAAACAAACAAGCAAAAACCAAAAACAUUGUUUCAGAUCUUAUUUUCCUAUUGACCUAAGAGUUAUUUAAUAUAGACUUUUGAAUUUUCAGGUAGAUUUUACUUUUGUUUCUUUUAAUUUUAUUAUUAAUUUCCAGUUUUAGUAGAAAAUGUCUAUAUAAUUUCAACCUUUUUUUUUUUGCUAACUCCUAGUUUUGUGUCUAGAUUUCAGCUUUUUAAUAGAGGCCACCUCAUCAUAAUUGAAAACCUCAUCCUGUUUCUCUCUCAUACACAACUCAUUCAGCAUGUAGAUUUUCCUCUGGCUGUUCCUGUUGCUGGCCUGCCAUCCUCUAGCCUACAUGUAACGUGACUUCUGUUAGCAAGUCCUUCACAUUCAGAUGACUGCAACAUUUGAACAUGCACAUUACUUUUUUCCACAUUUCUGAGUUACAAGCAUAUCCUGUCUUUUUGUGCCAUGAAUUUCAUAAGAACUUCAAUAAGAUAUAGACAUGUUUUCCUGUCUGAAAAAUCACUGAUACACAUUUCCUAAAAAAACAGGAAUGGCCUUGACUAUGAGGGAAUGGAAAGGAGAAAACCUGAGCAAUGGGAGGAAAGAACAAAACCAGUUGAACAUUUGUCAAAUGAAUGAGUAAUAGAAUAAGUUGAAGGGGAGAUUGAGUAGGUAGAACUCCUCAAUACCUUUGUUAUGGUGUAGAGACAAAGAAAAAGUUACCCAUAGCUAUGUGAAGGGGCAAAUGGGCAGUGCACUGCAUAGGUAAAGGCAUAAGCAGUGGCGGAUGCAUAGGAAUAUACAGCCACCUAUUUCCAUUCUUGUAUUUAGCUGGGCUACCCUGGAUGAAUAAAGAGAAUAUUUAAUCACUGUAGUAAGGCAUGAGAGACUAGAGGCAGAGAGAUACAUUUAGAACAAGUAUGUAGCUAUGGGAAUUAAAUGAGUAAAACCUAUUACAUGCUUAGCAUUUAUUACUUAAUGUAGCGUUAACUAGGGAUUGUUUCUGUCCUUGAGGAGGUUUAUAGGUAAGAAUAGGCAGUAUAACAAUUGGAGAAGUUAAUAAAUAUAUAAUUUUUAAAUUGAGAGCUAUUAUAAAGGCAAGGAAUAGAGAAUAGCAACAUGGAUUUAGGUACUAUCAAUAGGGUCAACCUUAAAGGAAAUGACUUUUAAUCUAAGAUCUCAGGAUGAAAGGAGCCAGCCAUGCAAAGAGCCCAAUCAGGAGAUUUGUGGGAGAUAGAACAGACUGUGAAGAGUCCUAAGAGAUGGAAGUAAGUUAGGAUGUGUGAGGUCUGCAAGGAGGCCUCUCCAGGGAGCAGUAAAGGGGACACUGGUUUGAGAUCAUAUGAUGUAGGUAAGCAGAGGCCUUCUUAACCACAGUGAGCUUGACUGGAUUCUGAAAAAGAUGAAAAAAAUUUAAGUAUAGAUUCUCGACCUCUCAUCUUCAUCAGAAUUAUCAUGUAGAGAAUAUUAAAUAUCCUUCCAGGACUGCAGAGUCUGAUCCAGGUGGUUUGGGUGGUGUCUAAACCUCAGUGUUAGUAACAAGCUACGUGGUGAUUCUGAUCCACACCUCAAUAUGAGAACCACUGACUUAAAAUGUUUACUUCAUCACCAAUCUUGCUAUUUUGUAUGAACUCUCAUUUUUCCUGAUGUUCCCUUUGGCUUUUUUUUUUCUUUCCAAAUUGUAUAACAAUAUUUUAGAGUUUUGGUUAAGGAUUACUUUUGUUGUCUUUUAUUUCUACAUUAGAAAUGUUGCUUCUUUUAGUAAAAGAAAACAGCAUGUGUUUGCUUUCUUGUUUUAUUUUAGAUUUGGAGACCAAGUAUGAGACCAAGAAGUUAUCUUUAGAAAAUGACAUUUAUGAAAUAAAUUUAUCCCAGUGGAAGAUAAUGGAAAGAAUUGAAAACCAUGGCCUUAAGGGUCUCAUUUUAAAAAAUGAUUGGGAAUCCACAGGAAAAAUUGAAGGACAGGAGAGACCUCAAGAGGGAUACUUCAGUAGUGUGAAAAUGCCAUCUGAAAAGGUGUCCUCUUACCAGAAACGCACAUCUGUUACUCCACAUCAGAGACUUCAUUUUGUUGAUAAACCCUAUGAAUGUAAGGAAUGUGGGAAGGCGUUCAGAGUGCGCCAACAGCUUACUUUUCAUCACAGAAUUCAUACUGGUGAAAAACCCUAUGAAUGUAAGGAGUGUGGGAUGGCCUUCAGACAGACUGCACACCUUACUCGACAUCAGAGACUUCAUUCUGGUGAAAAACUCUAUGAAUGUAAGGAAUGUGGGGAAGCUUUCAUAUGUGGUGCAGAUCUUAGAGUACAUCAGAAAAUGCAUAUUGGUGAGAAGCCCUAUGAAUGUAAAGAAUGUGGGAAGGCUUUUAGGGUACGAGGACAACUUACUCUGCAUCAGAGGAUUCAUACUGGUGAGAAACCCUAUGUGUGUAAAGAGUGUGGAAAGGCCUUUAGACAGUACGCACACCUGACUCGGCAUCAGAAGCUUAAUAGUGCUGACAGGCUCUAUGAAUGCAAAGAAUGUGGGAAGGCCUUUUUGUGUGGCUCUGGUCUUAGAGUACAUCACAAACUUCAUACUGGUGAGAAACCCUAUGAAUGUAAGGAAUGCGGGAAGGCCUUUAGAGUGCGACAACAACUAACACUCCAUCAGAGAAUUCAUACUGGUGAGAAACCCUAUGAAUGUAAGGAAUGUGGAAAGACCUUUAGCCGUGGUUAUCAUCUUAUUCUCCAUCACAGAAUUCAUACUGGUGAAAAACCUUACGAAUGUAAGGAAUGCUGGAAAGCCUUUAGUCGCUACUCACAACUUAUUUCACAUCAGAGUAUUCAUAUUGGUGUUAAGCCCUAUGACUGUAAGGAAUGCGGGAAGGCCUUCAGACUACUUUCACAACUCACACAGCAUCAGAGUAUUCAUAUUGGUGAGAAACCUUAUAAAUGUAAGGAAUGUGGCAAGGCCUUUAGAUUGCGCCAAAAACUUACUCUACAUCAGAGCAUUCAUACUGGCGAAAAACCCUUUGAGUGUAAGGAAUGUAGGAAGGCCUUUAGACUUAAUUCAUCCCUUAUUCAACAUCUGAGAAUUCAUUCUGGUGAGAAACCCUAUGAAUGUAAGGAAUGUAAGAAGGCCUUUAGGCAACAUUCACACCUUACUCAUCAUCUGAAAAUUCAUAAUGUAAAAAUCUAAGAAAGUCUUUUCAACUUCUGUGUUAUAGAACAUUCUAUGAAUGUAGUAAUUAAUCUAUUUUGCUCCAUACAUGCAACUGCCUUGGCAUUAGAGGUUUUAUACCAUUAAAAGAGUGUGAUAAUGUAUUGUAGUCCAUCAUCACUCAAACCUGAAACUUCAGCAUAUUUGUUCUAAAAACUAAUCCUGUUAUAAGAAUGAGAAAGACAUUUACCGUCAUCCCUAUCCCAUCACUUUGUGUCAUACUGGACAAGACGCUUAACUGCUCUGUGCUAUAAUUUUUUAAUUUAUGACGUGGUCAUAUAAGAAUGCAGCAGUUUGACACUCUUUCAAUCAAGAGGUGGAAUUUACAUCCCUCUGUUGUAUACAGGCAGACUCUGUGACUGCUUCGCCCAGUAGAAUAUGGUAGAUGUACUGCAGUGCUGGUUUCUUGACUCAGACUUUACCGGUAGGGUUACUUCAUCUCAUGAAAUGACAGAACUGUCUUGUUACAAAGUCUGGCUACUUUGCUGAAGAGACCACAUGAAGAGGCCCUGAAACUACGUAGAGAGGGAGAGGCACCUGCUGAACCCUGUCUUCUUGACAUCCACCAAGAUACCAGACAUUUGAGUGAAAUUUUGGAUCCACCAGACCAGCCACCAGCUAAAUGCCAGUGAGCGACUUGGUAACCUGAACUGAUGCCACGUAGAAUGGAAGAAUUGACCAGCUGAGCCCCUGCCCAAAUUUCUGACCCACAAAAACAUGCGAUAUAAUAAAAUGGUUGUUGUUUUAAGCCACUAAACUUUCUUUUAUUAUCAUACUUAAUAUUUCUUUUUACAUAAUUCAUACUAAAGGCUGUGGGCAUAAUGAGUAUAGAAAUGCCUUCCACCAACAUUUAACCUUCAUUGAACUUGAGAUAUCUUAUUCUCGUUAAAAUAUUGAAAGUAAGGAAUUCCUUUCCAGUUUGUUCAUUAAAAAACAGAUACCCUAGACCAGGUGAGGUGGCCCAUGCCUGUAAAUCCAGCACUUUGGGAGGCCAAGUAAGGACGAUUGCUUGAGGCCAGAAGUUCGAGACCAGCCUGGGCAACAUCGUGAGACCCUGUCUCUACCAAAAAACUUUAAAAAUUAGCUGGGCAUAGUGGUGCAUGUCUGUAGUCCUAGCUACUCUGGAGGCUGAGGUGGGAGGAUCAUUUGAACCCAAGAGUUGAGGCUUCAGUGAGCUGUGAUUAUACCACUGCACUCCAGCUUGAGUGACAGCAAGACCCUGUCUCAAAAAAAAAAAAAAAUCUACAAUCAGCUUUCUCUGGCCCCAGUCAAUAUUAAAAAUUGACAAAGGAUAACAUGAAACUUUGGAAAUUAAAAGUCACCUGUAUUAUGAAGCCCCAUUAAUUUUUUUAAUUACUUCAUUGUUUUUUAAAAAUGCUAAAUUGUCAAUUUAGCAUUUUGAGCAAUCCCCUCAAAUUGGCUCCUAUGUCCUUUUAUCAUGACCACUCCAACCUUUGAGCUUUUUUUUUUCCUGAACCAAAUGCAUUGAUUAGUUAUGGAGCAUACUAGAGCAUUAUUAACAAAUAAAGGAAAAGAAUGGAAUAUUUACCUUGCCUAUCCUUUACAAACUAUAUUUCAAGACAACCAAAAGUUGGUGAAGGAAAGUUGUUUAUUAUUAGAGAAUUCCAACUGGUUAAAAGGUCAAAGGAGGCCAGGCGCGGUGGCUCAAGCCUGUAAUCCCAGCACUUUGGGAGGCCGAGGCAGGCGGAUCAUGAGGUCAGGAGAUCAAGACCAUCCUGGCUAACACGGUGAAACCCCAUCUCUACUAAAAAUACAAAAAAUUUGCCGGGCGUGGUGACAGGCGCCUGUAGUCCCAGCUACUCAGGAGGCUGAGGCAGGAGAAUGGCUUGAACCCGGGAGGCGGAGCUUGCAGUGAGCCGAGAUCGCGCCACUGCACUCCAGCCUGGGCGACAGACCGAGACUCUGUCUCAGACAAAAAACAAAACAAAACAAAGAUCAAAUGAAUGAUAGAAUUUGAAAACUACGCUCUUUAAUUUUACAAAAUCAUGGAUUUUCGUGGUGAUAGCAAUGGAUGCGAAGACCAUUAGGUGAAAAAUGGAUAGGAAGCUUAUAAUGUGUGGAGCAGAAUGACAGGACACUAAUCUAUAUUAACAUCUCUAAAUGAGAUCAGCCAGAUGAACUUGAUAUGAUGAAAUGGAUACACACAGUGGACACCUGUGAAGUUUUCUUGGCCCCCCCCCUUCAAAACUGAGAAGUACAAGUUGGUCUCCAAACCUAAUUACCAGUUUACAGGAAACAUGGGGAAUAAAAGAACAAAUUAACAACACAAAGAAGCAAACAACCAAAUGCACAAUUUGGGAAAUUCUGCAGAAGUAAUGGCCUAGUUUUUUAACCAAUACAUGUC